GACGAACGCUGGCGGCGUGCUUAACACAUGCAAGUCGAACGGAAAGGCCCUGCUUUUGUGGGGUGCUCGAGUGGCGAACGGGUGAGUAACACGUGAGUAACCUGCCCUUGACUUUGGGAUAACUUCAGGAAACUGGGGCUAAUACCGGAUAGGAGCUCCUGCUGCAUGGUGGGGGUUGGAAAGUUUCGGCGGUUGGGGAUGGACUCGCGGCUUAUCAGCUUGUUGGUGGGGUAGUGGCUUACCAAGGCUUUGACGGGUAGCCGGCCUGAGAGGGUGACCGGCCACAUUGGGACUGAGAUACGGCCCAGACUCCUACGGGAGGCAGCAGUGGGGAAUAUUGAACAAUGGACGGAAGCCUGAUGCAGCAACGCCGCGUGCGGGAUGACGGCCUUCGGGUUGUAAACCGCUUUCGCCUGUGACGAAGCGUGAGUGACGGUAAUGGGUAAAGAAGCACCGGCUAACUACGUG
rnacentral:rRNA from 1 species